UACGAAGGGGGCUAGCGUUGUUCGGAUUUACUGGGCGUAAAGCGCACGUAGGCGGAUCGUUAAGUCGGGGGUGAAAUCCUGGGGCUCAACCCCAGAACUGCCUUCGAUACUGGCGAUCUCGAGUCCGGAAGAGGUGAGUGGAACUCCUAGUGUAGAGGUGGAAUUCGUAGAUAUUAGGAAGAACACCAGUGGCGAAGGCGGCUCACUGGUCCGGUACUGACGCUGAGGUGCGAAAGCGUGGGGAGCAAACAGG
rnacentral:rRNA from 1 species